rnacentral:rRNA from 1 species
UACGGAGGAUGCGAGCGUUAUCCGGAUUUAUUGGGUUUAAAGGGUGCGUAGGCGGAUAAAUAAGUCAGUGGUGAAAACCUGCAGCUUAACUGUAGGCCUGCCAUUGAUACUGUUAAUCUUGAGUAUGGUCAAGGUAGGCGGAAUGUGUAAUGUAGCGGUGAAAUGCUUAGAUAUUACACAGAACACCGAUUGCGAAGGCAGCUUGCUGGACCAUUACUGACGCUGAUGCACGAAAGCGUGGGGAGCGAACAGGAUUAGAUACCCUGGUAGUCCACGCCGUAAACGAUGAUCACUCGCUGUUGGCGAUAUACAGUCAGCGGCUAAGCAAAAGCAUUAAGUGAUCCACCUGGGGAGUACGGCCGCAAGGCUG